rnacentral:rRNA from 1 species
CCUACGGGUGGCUGCAGUGGGGAAUAUUGGACAAUGGGCGCAAGCCUGAUCCAGCAAUGCCGCGUGAGUGAGGAAGGCCUUAGGGUUGUAAAGCUCUUUCACCCGCGACGAUGAUGACGGUAGCGGGAGAAGAAGCCCCGGCUAACUUCGUGCCAGCAGCCGCGGUAAUACGAAGGGGGCGAGCGUUGUUCGGAUUUACUGGGCGUAAAGGGCGCGCAGGCGGCUCAUUUUGUCAGGCGUGAAAGCCCCGGGCUUAACCUGGGAACUGCGCUUGA